rnacentral:tRNA from 1 species
GGGAUGUUAGUAAAACAAUUACAUAGUCUUGUCAAGGCUAAAUUACAGGUGGAAUUCCUGUACACCCCA